AGCUAACAGAACAUUCCGGAGAGGUCAGGAAGUUCAGUCAGGGCGCGGCCCAGCAGCACCAACUGUUACAUUUCUGGAACAAAACAUUUUCUGGAAAGAAACCUGGAGGCAAGGAGAGAGAGGGCAGAAUUUGGAAACGCCAAGGAGAUGUGAGCUGGACGCUGAGAAAGAAAGGCCGAGACCUGCAGCUCCGGUAGGCAGAUUCCAGCCGCAGCUCCUGCGCACGCACCCCUGAAAAAGCCACGGGCGGAGCCGCCUCUGCGCCCUGGGCAGGUCUGAGUCGCAUCGCCCGCCCCGAGAGGGCGCGGGAGGUCCCGCCGAGGGCCUCCACCUGCCGGGAAAUCCGAGCGGUUCCUCCAGCCUCAGCGGCAGCUGAGCUCGCUCCUCCCCUCCAGCCAGCCUGGCUUAGUUCUGCGCGCCCCCCAACUCGCUCCCGCCCGCCCCAGUCACCUCGCUCCGCGCC
ensembl:lncRNA